CGGCGGACGGGUGAGUAACACGUGGAUAACCUACCUAUAAGACUGGGAUAACUUCGGGAAACCGGAGCUAAUACCGGAUAAUAUAUUGAACCGCAUGGUUCAAUAGUGAAAGACGGUUUUGCUGUCACUUAUAGAUGGAUCCGCGCCGCAUUAGCUAGUUGGUAAGGUAACGGCUUACCAAGGCAACGAUGCGUAGCCGACCUGAGAGGGUGAUCGGCCACACUGGAACUGAGACACGGUCCAGACUCCUACGGGAGGCAGCAGU
rnacentral:rRNA from 1 species